rnacentral:rRNA from 1 species
UUUGACCUCGAAUCAGGUAGGA